GAUGGUCUGUAUGUCAAAUGUGUUGCUGAUUGGUCAAUAAAUAAAUCACUGAUUGGCCAUUGGCUAGGCAGGAAGUAUAGGCGGGACAAGGAGGAGAAUAGAGCUGGGAAGUGGAAGGCUGAAGAGGGGACACUGCCAGCCGCCAUCAGGACAAGGAAGAUGUAAAGUACCGAGAAAAGACCACAUGAAGUCACAUAGGAAAAAAGCCAUAUGAAGAUGGAGGGCUAGAAAGUCACAUUUAUAAGCCCAGGAAUGCCAGAGUCCCCAGAAAACCACCAGAACCUGGGAAAAGCAAGGGUGCUUUCUCAAGUGUGGUUCAUUCAGAGGGGCCAAGCCCUGAAGACACCUGUGUCUUGGACGUCUAGCCUACUGAGUCCCCAAGCAUGUUGUGCAGACACAUGGAAUUGGGCCCACUCCUGGAUUCUUCCUGCAGCAGAUCAGCCUGUCCUCUGCUGUUACACAGCCUGUGGAAUCCCUAGUGCAUCCUCUGUGAAAAGUUUCUGGACUUGGUAUGUUCUACACAUCACCCGAUAAGCCAUAAACACUUAGCUUCCUCCACAGCCAGCAGCUUGGAGCAUCAAAGCUUGUGUCUCAAUACCACAUCAAAAAUCAGGAAGCGCUAGCUGAAAGGAGACACCCGGAUGGACUCUGGAGGCGAGCCAUGGGCUGUCUUAAGAAUGCUCCGAAAAUAAAUAUCAAUGGACUUUCACUUGAGUCCUGGAAUGCCCUUUCCUGUUCCAUAUCUACCCCAGCCAGAAAUAUAAGGUGCUGUGCCCAUUUAGUCUAAGGCUUGUCAGUAGCCAGGAGACAAGAGGGAGGAAGUGCAGCUCUCAGGCCACAAAGAGCCCGGUGGUCUUCCUCUUUGCAAGGACAGCGACAGCAAGCACCUGGGCCACAAAAGCACAUUCUCUUGAGAACGUGCUCCAAGUAGAGGCUUCAGUUCCUCUUUGAAAUAGCCUCACACUACAGAAGGCGUUUUAACAGGCUUCCAUAAGGUCCAGCUUCGUGUAUGUCCUGCCAGACACUUGAAUGGAGGAAAGUAACCAAUUUACUCGAGUUAAGUGUGGUUGUGCAAGAGGGCUUCAAGGUACCUCAACUGAAUGGAGCUGAGAGGGGGAUUGGAAAGGAAGAGCACUUGUUACAGGCCUCAGUGCUCCUUGGAGGUGGAUAUGCUGCAUUAGUGAAAGGCACCACCUCAUGGAAACAAAACAAAGCAUAACCAAUAAUGAACCAAAAUCAAAUCCUGGGGAUCCUUGGUCUGGCAGCUGGAUUGCUGAGUCAGUAGUAUCACAUUUCGCUUUUUUUUUUCAAUCUUAUUUCAGAUAUAAAUAUGUUUUCUUUUUUUUUUUUUGUCCAUCCAUUUAUUUAUGGCUUUCAAUAUAUCCCUGCUGCAGUUUCCUCCCCCUCCACUCCCAGUUCCCCCUCCCUCUCCCUCAGAUCCACUCCUCCUCCAUUUCCCAUCAGAAAAGAGCAGGCCUCCCAGGGAUAUCCACCAAACAUGGCAUAACAAGAUACAGUAAGACUAGGCACAAACAUUCAUAUCAGGGCUGGGUGAGGCAGCCCAAUAGGAGGAAAAAGGGUCCAAAGAGCAGGCAAAAGUGUCAGAGACACCCCACUCCCACUGUUAGAAGUCCCCCCCCCCACAAAAAACCCACCAAGCGAACAGCCAUACAUCUGUUCAGAGGACCUGGUACAGACCGCUUCAGUCUCUGUGAGCCCCUAUGAGCCAGGCCUGCUUAGUUGAUUCUGUAGGUAGUGUUCUCCUGGUGUCCUGGACCCCUCACUUCUUUAAGCAGAUGGAGCUCUGCUUUGAAAGGCUGGGCCGAAGGGAAAGGGCAACAGGAUCAAACUAGACUGAAGCUAAAGACAAUUAACCAUGGCUUUCGUGCUAAGAUAAGUACCAAAUUCAAACAAUAUCCAAAAAGCAGUGAACUUCGUUUCGGCUGCACUGCAGUAUUUACUCAUAGUCACUGAAUUAUCUUUCCCCAGUUCUCCUAAAAGGAGCUGUCCCUAUCUCCUUCUCAGGAAAGCACCCAGCUUUGUGAGGCACUUGCCUCCCCCAAACCCCACCUUUUUUGUUUUUCGAGACAGGGUUUUUGUGUGUAGCAUUGGUACCUUUCCUGGAACUCACUCUGUAGCCCAGGCUGGCCUCAAACUCACAGAGAUCCGCCUGGUUCUGCUUCCUGAGUGCUGGGAUUAAAGGCAUGCACCACCACCACAUGGCUCUUGCCUCCACUUUUCUGUGGUUUAUGGUCAGAUUUCUCUGAAGGUGGCAUCUGGGCCUAUCUUUGCAGGUCUCAAUCCAGAGCACACACACCAUUAAUUAUUCUGUAAUGAAUGACUAGCAUACAUCUGAGCUACCAAAACACCAGCAGCACCAAAUUUAGUGUUUUGGGAGGCCAUUUCUUCUACUGGAAGCAAUACUGGUGUUUCUCCUGUCUGGGAUUGUUAAGAACACAACUGGACUGAGCUCUCUACUUUUUGCAGUUCCAGGUGUCAAAUCCAGGCUUUUGCAUGGUAGCCAGGUACUCCACCACUGAGCCACACCCAUGGUUCAAGUCCCCUUUCCUGUCUUAUGUUCUUCUAUAACUCUCGUUUAGGUACAGCUAUGGCUUGGAACACAGGAAAUAGCUAAACUAGGCAAGCAACUUACAUAUUAUUAAACAGGUUUACAGAACAGGCACUGAGACUUUACAGUGCUUUAUAUGUACAGAUGUUGCUACUCAAAGCUUUUAAGACUAUGUUUAUGCAAACUGCAUGCUAGACACAAUUUCUAGUCUUUAUUUAAAGUUGUUCUUUAUAAAACACAAUAAACUCUUUUAUAAUUACAGUAGCUUCACUAAUAAUAGUUUGUUUUAGGAAUUCAAAACAUUUCAUUGGCAUUCCCAUGUACCUAUUUAACACCCUGCUCACCUAGGGAUUUUGAGACUGCAUCCUCCCCUGCACUCCCCUGGAGGGUGAAAAAGGAAUCCCAGUCAAAGAUUAAGCUUAAAAAAACAGUGCUUCAGACCUACUCAGAACUGAACAUGUGGAUUUUAGCAGAAGACUGAAGCAUCUUGGCUUCCAUCCAAAACAGAUUUUGUGAGGGAAAUUGUGCAAUAUCUCCACUAAUGAGAAGACUAUGCCCAAGCUGCACACUUUAUAGUCCAAUAUUUUAUUGCUAGAACUCAAAAUAGAUGAGGCAUUGGGACUAUAUUCUAGAAUGUCAGUGAAGUAUCUAAUUACUGUCUGAUCAUGUAUGUCAUCAACCCAAAUUGAAAUUACAGCAAAUGUCUUAGAAAACAAAAUGAUGAUUCAGAGUCUUUGAGAAAGACAGGUAGAAUUUGGAUUGGGAAGUCUGAAAAUAGAAUUGAUUAGACUCUGGGUAUUAGAAGAAACAUGUAUAGUAAACAAAAAUAUGUGUCCCAGUGUUCCCAUUUCAAGACAUCCACCCCACCUGGGAACCAGAAGUGAAUCUCCAAGAAGCACAGCUAGAACUAUGUGUCAUAUCCUCCCCAUAGGCAUCAGAAGUUCUUCAAGGAGAGAAAUUUAUACUCUGAUUUGCAGUCUUACCUACUGAAAUGAAAGAGUGGAAAAAGAAGACUGACUGGGGGACCAGUCCAUAAGACUCUAACUCACUGUGUAAGCUCAAAUUGCCCCUCCUUUGGAACUUUACUUUUCCUCACUGAAAAGAAUAAAAGUAAGAGCAACAGUAUUUACCUGGUAGCUGUGAAGAUUUGAAAUCAUGAAGGAAAAGCAGAUAACAUGUUUCCUGGUAAAUACCAGAUGUUCAAUGGAAGGCAGCUAUUAUUACAGCUAGAAUAUUAAAUUACCUUUGCCAUCAGCAUAGACUUGUAGAAAAUGAGAUUCAGUUGUAUUUAUGCCCAAAAGCAAUUUGUCCCCUAUUAAAAAGAUUUCAAAUGUCAGCAAACAAAAGGGGAGAAAAGUCCUAUUUUUUAUGUAACAGAAAAUGAUACAUAAAAGCUAAGUGGCUAAAAGGUUAAAACUACAUUAAAAUUAAUAAAUCAAUUGCCAAGUGCAAGCUGUUGAUAUUCUGUUCUCUCCACUUUUGUUCUGUUUUACCCAAAGAAAAAACAUAGUAAAAGCAGGAACUAGAAGGAGGAGGAGAGACUAAUCUGUGGAAGAGAAGAAAUCUAUAAAGAAGUGAAUGAAGGUACUAGAGUGAGCAGAGUUUAUUAAAAUAAUUAAAGACAAUUUUGCAGAAAAAAAUGAGAGGGAAGAAGUGAUUUAAAUGUUAUGAUUCCUAUAUAUCUUAUAUUUUUCUAUACUUAAGUCAUCCUGAUAUUAGAUAAAAUAUGAAAGCAUUUUAAACAUUUUUUUGUAUAAGCACGGCAUUAAGGAGUCUAUAGAAAUAAAAGCAAACUAAUAGGACCCUCGAGCAAAGUUUGAUCCAAACUUGGCUUUUGCCUUGAGAGGUUUUGUUGAACUUGGAAGUCUUAGGUUCCAUCUUGACAGAUAUAGUAGAGUUAUUGGACAGUUGAUUCAAUCUAAGGUUGUCCCAAGUAUAGUGCCUAGUAGAAGAUACUUAUGUUGGAUGAAUACGAAAAAACUCCACCUUAGGACAAACCAAGAAAUAAAACAUUCUGUAUGAUAGUCAUGAUCAGUAAUGAUGUUUUAAGACAUAAUCUUGAUUCUAGAUUAAUGAGAGAAGAAAUACCUCCAGACAGUAAAUACAACUGGCCCGUAGACAGUUGAGUGACUAAAUAUGUGUUUUUUAUAUGAUAUAAAGUUCAAAAGCAGGUAAUUUCAUUGAAUAUAAUGUUUCAGUGUCAGUGGUGUCAAGGGUAAGUGCCGGAAGAAAUAGGAGUCUUCUUUAUAGGAAUUAAAAUUUAAGUCUGUUCCUAGAUAAUAUUAUGGAAUGUAUAAGGAAAAUAUGCCACCCACUGUGGAAAAAAAUCACAAAAUACAUCAAAAGAGAAGAUACUAUGAAUGAGAAUCAGGCAAAACAACAUAAAUAAAAUAUACCCAAAAGAACCUCAUAAGCUCACAGCCAUACACAGAAUGUGAAGUGAACAACAUCGAUCUGUGUAAAUUUCAAAAGCAUGAAAAUAAAAUCAUUGUAAUCACUCAGGUACAAGAACGAACAAACAUAUUGCAAAAAGAACCAAACUAGAACUCAUAUAAAUUGAAAAAUACAAUUAUUUAAGUUAAAAAGAAUCAAUAGAAUGGAUAAUAUUGCUGAGAAAAUAAAUUAGUGAGUGAGAAGUUAAAUUUUUAAAAACUAUGGCAUGCCCUUAAAGGCGACGUGAUGUAGAAAAUAUACUCAGAAAUAAAACUGAGACAAACUGUUCUCAUUUCAUUCUAUUGUUCUGACAAAAUACUUGGCCAAAAGAAACUUACACAAGGAAAGGAUUUGUUUGGCUCAUAUUUCCAGGUCAUAGUCAUCUUUAAGGGAAGUCAAGACAGGAACUUGAAGCAGCAUCCAUGGAGGGACACUGGUUGAUGGCUUGCUCAUAGGCUCGAGCUUAUCCAGCCUAGAAUCACCUACCUAGGGAGUGGUGACCACUCACAAUGGGCUUAACUCUCCUAUACCAAUUAACAAUCAAGACAAUCUCUUACAGGCAUGCUUAUCAGCCAGUUUGACUUAGACAGUUCAUCAAUGAAGCUUUCCUCUAAGAUCAGGCUAGGCUGUGUCAAGCUGAAAGCUAAACUUCUCAUCAGAAGUUGUGAAUGGGUUAAAAUAAGAAAACAGAAAAGAGUCAGUAAACACACAAAAGAUGGGAUACUUCAGAAUCAAUGAAGCUAUACCAAUAAUCAGAUAUGAAAAGCCUCCAAAAUUCUUCAAAGACGUAAUUAUAAAGAAGGCACACCUAGAGAACUGAAAAUGAAACUAGAAGGUACAGAGAUUUUUUUAAGGAGUUUGAAUAGCUUGAAGACAGCCAAAGAAAAGUGAAGAUUCAUUUACAAAGAAUAAAGAUGAUUAAAAUGAUGGUUGAUGUCUCUAUAUCACUAACCAGAAGCAAGAAACAGAGAAACAAUGUUUCACAUCUUUAGAGAAAAUAACUUGCUGUGUAAAAUUUUAUAUCCUUGAGACAAAGAAACAAACUUUGAAGAACUGGGUUUGGGAAGACAGUUAUGCUCUCUGAAAAAACACUGAGGUUUUUGGCCUAAUGUGCAUCUUCACUGAAGGAAAUGAUACAGUAUCUUGGCAAAUACUCUGUCAUCUCCAUAAAUUCUUCCUGAAAGUGUGUCUGGACUCCCUGCAUCUGAUUAGCAUGGUUCAUCCAUCUGAGUAUCACUGCUCAUCAACUGUGGAAAAUUUAGAAGAAAAUAAUCCAAUAGUCAAGAACAAACUGAGAACACCUAUUGUUAAAUAUGACUGACCACUCCGUGCUUGGAGAGGGUGAUGUGCAGACCACCUGGUGAUCCCAAGUGAGAAACACAAAGCGAAUCAGAGACAGAGAAACCCAAAGGCUGCCCUUCAUAGCAAUUUGGAUUUUAAAUCUCUCUUUAUUGGAUUAUGUUUUAAUAAAGGGUUUAUGUAACAUCCGCA